AGGACGAACGCUGGCGGCGUGGAUUAGGCAUGCAAGUCGAGCGAUAUCUACCCUUCGGGGUAGUGAAAGCGGCGAACGGGUGAGUAACACGUGGACAACCUGCCCUCACAUUCCGGAUAAUAGACCGAAAGGUCUUGUAAUGCGGGCGAGGAUUCUCUUAAGGCAUCUUUUGAGAAGGGAAGGCGCAAGCCGUGCGAGGAGGGUCCGCGGAUUAUCAGGUAGUUGGUGGGGUAAUGGCCUACCAAGCCGACGACGAUUAGCUGGUCUGAGAGGAUGGUCAGCCAACACGUGGGACUGAGACACUGCCCAGACUCUACGGGAGCUGCGAGUCGAAGAAUCUUAGCACAAUGUAACGAAAGUAUGACUGACAGCGACGCCGCGUGAAGGAUGAAGUCCCGUGGUCGUUAA
rnacentral:rRNA from 1 species